CCAUAUUCAACAAAUCGAGCAGAUCAAAAAUGACAAAAAGAGGUCGUCCCCGCGCGCAAGCAUCGCAGGAAGCAGAGAAGCGGCUAAGAUCAGACAUUGACGAUGCAGUUGACGAGAAUUGUGGUUUGGAGUGAGUUUUGGUUCGGCUAUAGGGAGAUCUUGGUUAAUGGGUAAACUGAUAUUCGGAUAGAUGUUUCAAUUUAAAACUGUACUUUUUCGCAACUUAAUAAGUGCGUUUGGAUAUUAGCUAAUGAUUUAGAUUUGGGUAAAUUGUUCGUAUUCAGCAUUAUAGAUUGUGCAUUGUGUUUUACAAUCUGUGCAUUACUCCUUUAUCGACUGUCAUUAUUUGCA